rnacentral:rRNA from 1 species
GAUGAACGCUGGCGGCGUGCCUAAUACAUGCAAGUCGAGCGAAGCGAGGACGGGUGAGUAACACGUGGAUAACCUCAUAUAAGAAUGGGAUAACUAAGGGAAACCGGAGCCAAAUCGGAUACUUAGAGAGGGAUGCGCGCUGGAUUAGCUAGUGGUUACGGUAACGGCUUACCAAGGCAACGAUGCAUAGCCGACCUGAGAGGGUGAUCGGCCACACUGGAACUGAGAAACGGUCCAGACUCCUACGGGAGGCAGCAGUAGGGAAUCUUCCGCAAUGGGCGAAAGCCUGACGCAGCAACGCCGCGUGAGUGAUGAAGGUCUUCGGAUCGUAAAGCUCUGUUAGUAGGGAGGCGGUACCUAAUCAGUAAGCCACGGCUAACUUCGUGCCAGCAGCCGCGGUAAUAC